rnacentral:misc_RNA from 1 species
AAGUCGUAACAAGGUAUCCGUAGGUGAACCUGCGGAUGGAUCAUUAUCGUAUCCAAUACUACCUAUCUACCAAUCGUGAACCGUUUGCCUUUUAUACAACAAUCAGCCAAUCGAUCGCUUCGGUGAUUGAUCGCUCUCUUGGAAUUGAAAGGGUGAGGCUUUCGGGCCGGCUCGUUGUAUAAGAGUGUACUUCUCUUCAAUUCUAUCUUACUAUUAACCAAUUGAACCAUUCUAAAAUGUUUUUCUUUGUAUUGAACUGAAUUGUUUCUUACUUGUAAGCUAACACUUGCGAGAAGAAAUCGAUUUACGAAAUAAAAAGAACAACUCUUAGCAACGGAUAUCUUGGUUCUC